UCCAAGCCCAUGCAUCAGGAGCAAAGUUGGAGGCCAUUGCUUUAGUGUUGGAAACUUAAGCUGGUGGUGGUUUGAUCGAUGGAGGGAAUAGGUUGGUUUUAUAGAGGAAGAAGGCAAUGUUUUAUGGAUGAAAUUUUGGGCGCCAAUGAUUGAGUCCAGUAAGGCCCGGCAAAGUUUGGGGCAAAGCAGAUUCUCUGUUUGAUAACUAGUGUCUGGUUUUAAGAAUUCCUGUUGUCAAUUGGACCUUGAGGAAUCUCCCUUUAUACUUCCGUGCAGAGCACAAGAUCCUGGAUAAUUGGGUGCAGCGACUGGUUGGUGACUUGGUGUGUCUCCUGAUCGAGUCCAGGGUUAGUGUUGCACUGCAAAAUUAUGGGUGAAACCGUGAUGACAGAUUCUGCCUUUCUGGUCGAGGGAUGGAUGCAGGAUGCUAGUCUUGUACGGGAAACUUGUGCUGUCGAUUGGCAAUCGGAGCCGGAAGAAUCUCGAUUUUCUGCUCUCGUGUGGUUUUAGGAUUUAUCGGCUCCAGUCGCGCAUCAUUUGCCCUCCUCUAACUUGAGGAUUAAUCCAAAGGUUUUUUAUUCUCUCCCGCGCAUUCUGUCGUAGCUAACACUUGUCGCUAAGAAAUCCUAUUUGUGCAACACCCAUGAGUACGAAACCAAGGAUACUGAUAUCUUGGCAGUCAAA